rnacentral:rRNA from 1 species
GAUGAACGCUGGCGGCGUGCCUAAUACAUGCAAGUCGAGCGAACAGACGAGGAGCUUGCUCCUCUGACGUUAGCGGCGGACGGGUGAGUAACACGUGGAUAACCUACCUAUAAGACUGGGAUAACUUCGGGAAACCGGAGCUAAUACCGGAUAAUAUAUUGAACCGCAUGGUUCAAUAGUGAAAGACGGUUUUGCUGUCACUUAUAGAUGGAUCCGCGCCGCAUUAGCUAGUUGGUAAGGUAACGGCUUACCAAGGCAACGAUGCGUAGCCGACCUGAGAGGGUGAUAGGCCACACUGGAACUGAGACACGGUCCAGACUCCUACGGGAGGCAGCAGUAGGGAAUCUUCCGCAAUGGGCGAAAACUUGACGGAGCAACGCCGCGUGAGUGAUGAAGGUCUUCGGAUCGUAAAACUCUGUUAUUAGGGAAGAACAAAUGUGUAAGUAACUAUGCACGUCUUGACGGUACCUAAUCAGAAAGCCACGGCUAACUACGUG